AUUGAACGCUGGCGGAAUGCUUUACACAUGCAAGUCGAGCGGCAGCACGGGGGCAACCCUGGUGGCGAGCGGCGAACGGGUGAGUAAUACAUCGGAACAUGCCCAGUCGUGGGGGAUAACACUUCGAAAGAAGUGCUAAUACCGCAUAUGUCCUGAGGGAGAAAGCGGGGGAUCUUCGGACCUCGCGCGAUUGGAGUGGCCGAUGUCAGAUUAGCUAGUUGGGGGGGGAAAGGCCUACCAAGGCAACGAUCUGUAGCUGGGCUGAGAGGAUGAACAGCCACACUGGGACUGAGACACGGCCCAGACGCCUACGGGAGGCAGCAGUGGGGAAUUUUGGACAAUGGGGGCAACCCGGAUCCAGCCAUUGCGCGUGAGUGAAGAAGGCCUUCGGGUUGUAAAGCUCUUUCGGCAGGAACGAAACGGCGAGCUCUAACAUAGCUUGCUAAUGACGGUACCUGAAGAAGAAGCACCGGCUAACUACGUGCCAGCCGCCGCAGUAAGAC
rnacentral:rRNA from 1 species